UGAUAGGGACCAUUCAAUGUCGGAAAUUCAACGGAUUUGAUGUCUCUUAGUUAAAUUGUAAUGUGCUAAAUUAAAAACGUAAAGCUCACAUAAAAAUUGUAACCUGUACAUGUACUUACGGAUCUCAGGUAGUCGAAUAUAUCAACGUAGGUAGGCAUGGUUGAUUGUGAUUCAAGACUAAGUCCAAAACUGUUAAUUUUUCAUUGACGACUUCAGUAGAAAUAAAAACGCUGGCUUUAUUCAAGACAGUUUUUAGAACACACAAUUCGUUAUGAAUCCGCCAAUAAUUAUAAACUCAUUAUUUCCUAGUAUCACUAUAGUCGUGUCCAACAUGGCAAUAGACUUUCCAUAUUUGUUCCAACGUAAUCGCUCAUCACACCGUAAAUGUGUUUUUAAAUGUAAUUGAGAUGUAGAAUUCUGUAGUGUAGGGAAGGUAUUUUUAGUUUCAAGAGUUUCAGAGAGGGACGCAAACUCCAGAUCAAUGUGUAGAGAUUAGAUUUGAGUCUGAUUUAUUAAGCUUGGGGUUUACUCUACACUCAACAGACAAGUCUAAUUUGAGCUUAAAAGAACUUAACGUGAAAUCUUACAAUAAAGCAAAUUAGAGUUGGUUAUAUGAAAAAUGUUUAUGUUUACUAAAAAAAAGUAUGAAUUAAAGUUCUCUCCCUUGACAGGGUAGUCUAGACAACCAAAAGAAAUAAUUUCCUAACGUAACAUAAGCAU